GGCUGCACAGUCACACGCGGCGCCCCAUUAAAGCGGCCGUCCCGGGCGCGCGCCUCAUUCGAGGCGACGGGCUCCGGGCCCUGAUAGAUGGGGUGCGGGGACGGAGACAAAUGACGGCCUUUGGGCUCGGAAUACCCACCUUUCUGGUAAUGCAGCCCAGCGGGUCCCAGCCUCGUUUUCCAGCCCUCACUCAAAAUGGAGUCGCUCUGGUUCGAACGCCUCUGACAAGUGUGUACCUACGUGUCAGGCCCAUCCUUCCUGCAGGCCUUUGUCUUGGUGUCACCCUGCCUGAGCUGGCCCCAACCACAGUAGCAACAGUGAUGCUGAUGUGUGACUGCUGCCAGGAGCCUGCUCACAUGACCGUGUGGAGAAAGUUCUUUCCCUGAGGACCAUCUGGAGUGGACGCGUGCACUACCCCUCUCUGAAUACACCCUCCCCACGAGGCCCUCUGGAGCAUCCUGUAGAGCCAGCCCCUACCCAGAGACCCUGAGCCCAGAGAAUGCGCUGGGUGGUGAGCCUGGGGACGAAUGCAGAGCCCUAGGUCUCCUCUCCAGAAGUUGGAGUGCCAUGGUGUGGUCAUAGCCCACUGAAGCCUCAAACCUCUGGGCUGAAGCCAUCCUUCCGCCUCAGCCUCCCAAGUAGCUGGGACCAUAGGUGCAUGGCACUGUGCCUGGCACUGUCUGAAUGCAUACAGCUGCGUAGCAUCGUGGUAAGAACACCCGCCCUGACAUCACACAGACCUGCAUCCACGUCCCAGCUGAGCCUCAGUUCUCACAUCUGCAAAAUGGGGAGAACAACAGCAGCAGCGUCCUGAGGCUGGGGUGAGGACCGAGUGAAAAACCUUUGUCGCAUCUUUGGGCAUCGCAGGAGUUCAAUAAAUGUUAGCUAUCGUUGUCACUUUGU
rnacentral:lncRNA from 1 species